CAGACUAGUUUGAUUACACAUACAAUUGACGUGGGCAGUGCUAAGCCAGUCAAACAGCGUAAUUUCCCCGUUUCACCUGCUGUUGAGAAGAGUAUGUACGCAGAAAUAGACAGAAUGUUGCAUUUAGGGGUUAUUGAAGAGCCGGAAAGCGCUUGGUCCUCUCCCAUCUUCAUGGUUAAUAAACCUGGCAAAGUGAGGAUUUGUUUAGAUUGCCGAAAGGUCAAUAGUUUCACCGGUCAAUAGUUUCAUAUCCACUUCCACAAAUCAGUGGCAUCUUAAGUCGGUUGCCAAGAGCCGAGUAUAUUACUAGUCUUGACUUGAAAGACGCCUAUUGGCAAGUGCCAUUGGAAGUUCAAUCCCGAGAUAAGACCGCAUUUACAGUCCCCGGUAGGCCACUCUACCAAUUAUAGUAAUGCCUUUUGGGCUUUGUAAUGCCACCAGCACAAUGUCUCGCUUGAUGGACAAAGUCGUCCCACCGCAUCUCAGGAACGAGGUAUUCAUAUACUUGGAUGACCUCCUGGUAGUAUCGUCAAAUUUUGAGAAUCAUCUUAACGUACUUAGGGAGAUCGCCGUUCACAUCAAGCGUGCAGGAUUGACAAUAAAUAUUGGCAAAAGUCAUUUCUGCAUGCGACGUGUACCUGAUCUAGGUCAUAUCAUUGGUGAUGGCGGAAUUCGUACAGAUCCUGAAAAGGUGAAAGCAAUCACCGAGUUUCCCGUCCCGAAAACCCUGCGAGGGUUGAGGAGUUUAAUGGGCUUAUGUGGCUGGUACCGCAAAUUCGUUCCGAAUUUUGCAUCACUCGCUUCUCCUUUAACUGAUUUAAUGACAACCAAACGAAAGUCAGUCUAACUCCAGAAGCACUAAAAGCCUUUGAAAUCUUGAAGACUCGUCUUAGCGAAGCUCCGGUGUUAUGUAGUCCGGACUUUUCUAAACCAUUUGCUAUCCAUUGCGAUGCUAGCAAGUCUGGUGUCGGUGCUGUGUUAGUACAGGUAUCUCAGGAAGGAGACGAACGUCCUAUAGCAUUUAUCUCGAAAAAACUAAAUCGAGCUCAAAGAAAUUAUACCGUGACCGAGCAGGAGUGUCUUGCGGCAAAAUUAGCCUUGAAGAACUUUAGAGCUUACGUGGAAGGACAUGAUUUCACGAUCAUAACUGACCACGCCUCGCUUAAAUGGCUUAUGUCUAACCAUGAUCUCAGUUCUCGUUUAGCUCGAUGGGCGUUAGCCUUGCAAAGAUAUCGAUUUAAAAUGGAGCAUCGUAAGGGUACUAUGAACGUGGUACCUGAUUCCUUGUCCCGCGUUAACGACGACGAAGUCGCGGCGAUAGAUUUGCGAGAAGGUUUGUUAGUCGAUAUGAAUUCGGACCACUUUAAAUCUCCUGCUUACAAAGAUCUAGUAGCUAAGGUCGAAGAGAAGAAAGAUAAUUUCCCUGAUCUUAAAACAGAGGAGGGGUAUUUGUAUAGAAAAGCAGAACAUUUAACUGGAGAGCAAGUACACGAUGAAUACGCAUGGAAACUUUGGUUACCAUCAGAGCUGAUCCCCGAAGUUCUUUUCCAAGCCCAUAACAGUCCAUUAGCUUCCCAUGGCGGGAUACAUAAGACUGUCGAGCGCGUUAGGAGGUAUUAUUUUUGGCCUCGCCUCGUACCUGACGUGAAAGCAUACGUUAAUGCCUGUGAGACAUGUAAGUUCUCAGACCACCGCUAGGAAAAGCGCCAGAAACCGUGCGACUUUUUCAACGAAUUUUCAUCGAUUUUCUCGGACCUUACCCACGUUCGAGAAGCGGGAAUAUCGGGAUUUUCAUAGUCCUAGAUCAUUUCUCUAAAUUUGUAUUUCUAAAACCUGUAAAGAAGAUUAAUGCUAGUGUUGUUAUUAAGUACCUCGAAGGCGAGCUCUUCAUGACUUUCGGUGUCCCGGAAACUGUCGUAUCAGACAACGGAUCCCAGUUCCGUUCUGAAGCGUUUCAGAAACUGAUGAAGACGUAUGAGAUUUCACACAUGCUGACGGCUGUUCAUUCGCCUCAAGCUAACGCCUCUGAGCGAGUCAAUCGUUCUGUUAUUUCAGCGAUUCGAGCUUACCUUCGUCCAGAUCAGAAAGAUUGGGAUGAGUAUUUGAAUAGGAUAUGUUGUGCCUUGAGAUCCUCGAUCCAUGCCAGUAUCGGUACAACGCCGUACUAUAUGGCUUUCGGCCAGCAUAUGGUAGAUGAUCGAUCCUUGAUGUUUAAUAGGCAAGAUUCAUUUAAAAUAAUCCGAGAGGAAGCGACUAAGCAAAUGCAGAAGGCUCACGAUCGUAACGAAAAGCGUUAUAAUUUGCGCUCGAGAGCUGUUUCCUACGCUGAAGGGCAAGAGGUAUUUCGACGCAAUUUCAAGCAAAGCUGCUUUCAGACCGGCUAUAACGCCAAGUUCGGUCCAUCAUUCGUAAAAGCCCGAGUUCGAAGAAAAUUGGGAAGAUCUUAUUACGAACUAGAGGACUUGCAAGGUCGACUCUUGGGUAACUAUCACUCGAAAGAUAUUCGCCAGUGAUGCGACUCCAAGCGGUAAUCUGUCUAGGGUAUCUAGAGCCAAAUACCCUAGCCUGAUUCUAGCGGGGGUGCUUUUGUAACGGCGCCUGUAGCGACUGGCGAACCUAGGUUCAUCCUGAAAACCUACUAUACAGGGUCCGCUUAAACCAAAGCUUGACCUAGUGUGGCCACCUGUGUCGGCUAUUCGAUAUUUCGAUAGUUUUGAACAGCUGAGCCAGGGUGGUCUUGGAAAGUUCUAGUUUUGACACCUGUCGGUCGUCAUAUGAUAUAUAUUUCCGCCAAGAGCCUCGCUGGUAUCCAGCCGCUUCCGGUUAAGUUCUUCUUAUUUUAACCUGCGAGAGAAACGGACGUGCCAGCAGCUCAAAAUUUUAAUUUCACUUAAAAGACUAAAAGUCCGAAAUAUAUAUUUUUUGAGUGGCAUCCAGUAUUUUUGAGUGGCAUCCAGUAUUCUAAGUGGUGUUUAGCACUCAGUGUGGCUGCCAGCUAUAAAAGCUAGCCAGCGAAUAAAGCUUAAAGUAUUUUUUAAAAAUUCCGGGUGGAAAACCCAGCCAGUGCUGCCACAAGUUGCCGCCAAAGGCGCAUCUUAUUGAUUCGGCCAAUUUACUGGAGGAUUUACCACCUCAAGAAGGCCAAAAUCAAAUCUCGGGGCCCAAUCGUCAGGUUGGCCCGCGAGGAAUGAUUUGGAGAGAUUAGUGCCCUGAAGUACCCCUAUCUAAUAUCUACCUAUCUACGGGCUAUGUAGUGCCUUUCAAGAAGUGCAGUUUUACUUAGAGCGGAUCCGAUGGCAGUUUAAUUCAAUUAUAUAACCUGUCCCGAUGCCCAUCAUGCCACGCAUCCGUACACCAGCCGAGUUUUAAGGGGUGCGCGUAGCCGUCUGGGAGGCUUCCGAGUGAAAUAUCGCUGCCGCAGAUUUAGGGAUUUAUACCCGAUUAUGUUGUAAAAGCGUCGCGUGUGUGAACGGCCUUAGCCUAGCCAACCGGGUUUAACCUUAAUGGAGAUAAAAACCCUCUUUGGAUCUGGAUCAGUCCUAACCCUGUUAUAUAACCAACGCGCUUUUAGAAACCGAAUUUAAGAAUUAAUGUAAAAAGAAAAUCAAUGAAAUCAAAGAUAUGUAAGCCAUAAAACAAACAGCAACUUUUUUCUAAAGCCUCAAGUGGCAACACCAUGUAAAGCAAUAGUUAUAUUUAACAAAUUAAAAGAAAUUAACAAGUCGAUCGGGUCAAAAGAGAUAAUGCACGCCGAGAAGCAUUAAUUUAAUUUAAGAAGAGCUAGAUUUUUUUUUAGGUUUAAAAGAAAAAUUUGUUAUUGUAAAGUAUUCAAGGAGGUACGAUGAAUUAGUUACGGGUUACAAGUUUAGUUUAAAUCGUUCGCGCGUCUAAAAGAAAUGAGAGAAAUGUUUAUUUGCCCUUUAAAUUCUACAUGGCGAGAAAUAUCGCUACCCUUUAGAUUACAGCCAGAUUUAGGAAAUGCCGUGAGUCACACUAACUAAUCACAUAUAUAUAUUACUUUAUUCACAUUUCUCGCCGAUCCGUAAAGUGAACGAACCUUAUUUAAACGUAAGCCCCGAUCUAAAAAUAAUGAGUUAAUUAAAAUACCUCGAGUUAUUUGCAUUCUCUAUGAAUUAAUUUGCGAUUUUCAAAAGAAAUAAAGAUCGCCUAUUGUUAAAUCCUAAAGUCUCUAAUUGCCUAAAAACAUGAAUUGAUAAAAUUUAGAGAAAGUCCCUUUAAUAAGAUUUUUUUUGUGCAAAAAUAAUACAA